rnacentral:misc_RNA from 1 species
GAUGAAGAACGCAGUGAAAUGCGAUACGUAAUGUGAAUUGCAGAAUUCAGUGAAUCAUCGAGUCUUUGAACGCACAUUGCGCCCCCUGGUAUUCCGGGGGGCAUGCCUGUCCGAGCGUCAUUGCUGCCCUCAAGCACGGCUUGUGUGUUGGGCCUCCGUCCUCCUCCCGGGGGACGGGCCCGAAAGGCAGCGGCGGCACCGCGUCCGGUCCUCGAGCGUAUGGGGCUUCGUCACCCGCUCUUGUAGGCCCGGCCGGCGCUUGCCGACACAUCAAUCUUUUUUCCAGGUUGACCUCGGAUCAGGUAGGGGUACCCGCUGAACUUAAGCAUAUCAAUAAGCGGAGGA